rnacentral:rRNA from 1 species
CAGGAUGAACGCUAGCUACAGGCUUAACACAUGCAAGUCGAGGGGCAGCAGGACGAUAGCUUGCUAUUGUUGCUGGCGACCGGCGCACGGGUGAGUAACGCGUAUCCAACCUUCCCCUUAGUAGGGCAUAGCCCGGUGAAAAUCGGAUUAAUACCCUAUGUUGUGUCAUGAGGACAUCUGAAUAACACUAAAGAUUUUAUCGCUAAGGGAUGGGGAUGCGUCCGAUUAGGCAGUCGGCGGGGUAACGGCCCACCGAGCCCUCGAUCGGUAGGGGUUCUGAGAGGAAGGUCCCCCACACUGGUACUGAGACACGGACCAGACUCCUACGGGAGGCAGCAGUGAGGAAUAUUGGUCAAUGGGCGUAAGCCUGAACCAGCCAAGUAAGCGUGCAGGAUGACGGCCCUAUGGGUUGUAAACUGCUUUUAUACGGGGAUAAAGUGAGGGACGUGUCCCUUAUUGUAGGUACCGUAUGAAUAAGGACCGGCUAAUUCCGUGCCAGCCGCGGC